rnacentral:sRNA from 1 species
UAUAAAAGUGUCAUCAAUGAUCAGACAGAAGAUUUAUACGCUGUACUGGAUGGGCAUUCGACGACCUCACCUGUAUGAGCAAGUAAGGCAUUUGUCUGGAUUGCAAAUACGGGUGGCGACGUCGAGAGUGCAUAGCACGAAGACAUCGGCUUUUAUA